GACGAACGCUGGCGGCGUGCCUAAUACAUGCAAGUCGAACGCACAGUUUAUACCGUAGCUUGCUACACCAUAGACUGUGAGUUGCGAACGGGUGAGUAACGCGUAGGUAACCUGCCUGGUAGCGGGGGAUAACUAUUGGAAACGAUAGCUAAUACCGCAUAAUAUUGAUUAUUGCAUGAUAAUUAAUUGAAAGGUGCAAUUGCACCACUACCAGAUGGACCUGCGUUGUAUUAGCUAGUAGGUGAGGUAACGGCUCACCUAGGCGACGAUACAUAGCCGACCGUAGAGGGUGAACGGCCACACUGGGACUGAGACACGGCCCAGACUCCUACGGGAGGCAGCAGUAGGGAAUCUUCGGCAAGGGACGAAAGUCUGACCGAGAAACGCCGCGUGAGGGAAGAAGGUUUUCGGAUCGUAAAGCUCGGUUGUAAGAGAAGAACGGGUGUGAGAGUGGAAAGUUCACACUGUGACGGUAUCUUACCAGAAAGGGACGGCUAACUACGUG
rnacentral:rRNA from 1 species